UACAGAGGUCUCAAGCGUUGUUCGGAUUCAUUGGGCGUAAAGGGUGCGUAGGCGGCGCGGUAAGUCGGGUGUGAAAUCUCGGAGCUUAACUCCGAAACUGCAUUCGAUACUGCCUUGCUUGAGGACUGGAGAGGAGACUGGAAUUUACGGUGUAGCAGUGAAAUGCGUAGAUAUCGUAAGGAAGGCCAGUGGCGAAGGCGGCUUCCUGG
rnacentral:rRNA from 1 species